GGAUGCAUGUUCAAAUUCCAAGGAAGAAAAAUAUGGAACAGGAGUAACUAGACCCAUCAUCUACAGGAGAACUGUAGAGAAUCCUUCCGGACUGAGGCCACGUCUGACUGAUGUUUCACCAUGCACUGUAAAACUGCUGAAGACCAUCCUUUGCAGUCAGUGUGGCAGAAUAAAUAUUUCU